rnacentral:lncRNA from 1 species
UUUAAUUUUAAUCAUAUUUUAUCUUUAACUUUAAAUUUCAUUUAAUUUGUUUCAAAUUUGUAUUUCAAAUGUUUUUAUUUUAUUAGUUUUAUAGUUUAAAGUUUGUUUAUUUACGGAAAACCCAUCGCAUGUAUUUCAUUUAUAUUUUAUUCAUAUAUUUUUCAUUUUUCUUUAAUUUUUGUAAUGACAUACUUCCAUGAAAUUUAUCUUCUGUUUUUCUCAUUUACGUCUUAAAUUAUUUUAUCUUUUUUAUGAUUUAUUUAAUUAUUUGAAAAGCGAAGUUACAAAAGGUAGAGGCGGAGAGAGAGACAGAGAGAGAUGGGGUGGGGAACCUGAAGCCUUGCCACUGCAGGCCUCACCUUGCUGGGACUGCUACCACUGCUGUCUCCUAUCCGAAGCAGGCUCCUGUGACACCCAAGUCCCAGCUGCUGCUCCCACCACUGGCUCGCUGGCAGUGCCUGCCCUGCUCUGAAGCCUUUCUGUCCUUCUGCCUUGGUAAGGUAAGCACACACAGUUCCUCAACCUUGAUUGUCACUGCCAACCCUCUUCCUCCGCUUAGCUCCAGGCCAUUGGGUAGGUUCCGUCUUCAUCCCUGGUUCCAUCACCUCCCUUUCUGAUCUCCCCCAAAUCCCAAGACUCACCCCCUCCUCUCUGAAGCCCUCUUCCUACAGAGGAGAAUCCCUGACACCCGUGUAUGUGUGUUACCCUCCUCGUCUUUCUUGCCUACCCCUGCGACAUGGACAGAGCUGUAUGAACAUUGCUGUGGACCCACGCUGUCAGCACAGAGCCCAACACUUCUACACCAGGCAUUUCUGCCAUCACAGCAAGUGCACCUGCACACUUGACCCUUCAGCCCAGUCUAGACCCUCAGAGCAGUGACAUGGGCACCACCUCCCCCCUCCUUCUAGUGCUAUUGUCUUCAGCUCUCUUCAAAAUUCCAGUAGGUGCACUGUCUCUUCUCCCUAUGGUCAUGGCAGUGUGGAUUGGUGACAUCUGUAAAGGCACGAGGCCCCACCAGCCCAUUUACCCUAAGGGUUCCCACCCCAAUUUUUAGCCACCUCUUUAGCUCAGAAACUGUCGUCCUGUCCACCUUUAGGGCCCCCGAUGGGCAGGAACAAAAAGACUCUCUCAUUCAUGUGUCUU